AAUAUAUUAAUUUCUAACUAAUGUGCCUGGUAACUCUAUCUUGGACUGCUCUGAGCUGAAAUCAAUGUCAUAACUACCCAUGUUUGAUUCCACCUGCAGCAAGUUUUUUUGGGGAACCAGCUUCCUUGUGGAUGCAAAACAUCAAAAUUUUUACUGACCUGCUGCUCAGGACAGAUCUGGGCUCUGCCUCUAUCCAUCGGGUUUAAACUUUCCUUGGCCAGGAGAGUGGUUUGGAGCAGCAGAGCCGAGAUUUACCGCCGCUGGAUGAGGCACUGGCUUUGCCAACCAAAUAGGAGUCGAGAGAGAAGUGGUGCCCACAGAAAAGGCAAUAUAAGAUGUUUACGCAAGAGCAGCAGACUGUGCAUCCAGAAAAGAUGGGAUCUGUGUCAGAAAACUCCAUCCAAUCCAGCAGUGACAGGCAGCUGAGAGCCCCUGGAUGAUUAAAGCCAGGACUAGUACUCGGCUCUAGUGUACAGCAGCAGAGGAGAGAUUAAGCAGGGAGUAAGAGAGAAACUGUAGACUAUUCCUCUCCCCUUCUUUUCUCAUAGACCUCUCCAUCACAUAUACACAUUUGCAAAAUUCAGUGGCUGCCUGGGAAGUCAUCUGCCUUAAUGCAGUUGCAGACCAGAAUCAAGGCAUCUCUUUAACUUGGCAUUUAUAACUCAGCAAAUAUAAGCACUUCUGGUGUGUCUGGAAGAAAGCCAUCUCUGGGUCCAAAUCUUUUUCUAAGCAAUUUUAAUAUAGAAAUGAAAAAAUCUUAAUUUUCUCGUGCCUGUUGAAAAGGCAUUUGGACAAUGCCCUUAAAAACAUGCUUUAAUUUUUGGUCAGCCCUGAAGUGGUCAGGCAGUUGGACUGGAUGAUCACUGUAGGUCUCCUCUAACUGAGUUCUUCUAUUGAAUGUGAAAAAUAAUUGACUGUGAAAAGUAUUCUUUUCCUAACAAUAAAUUAUUAUCAUUUA